CAAAGGUUUGGUCCUAGCCUUUUUAUUAAUUGGUAGCAAAAUUAUACAUGCAAGAGUCAUCACCCCUGUGAAAAUGCCCUAUAAGUCACAUGGACUUAAAGGAGCUGGUAUCAAGCACACUAAAAGUAGCUCACAACACCUUGCUUAGCCACACCCCCACGGGACACAGCAGUAAUCAAAAUUAAGCAAUAAACGAAAGUUUGACUAAGUUAUGCUACACCAAUAGGGUUGGUAAACCUCGUGCCAGCCACCGCGGUCAUACGAGUGACCCUAAUUAAUAAACUCCGGCGUAAAGAGUGUUAAAGAUAUAGUCAUAAUAAGAUUAAAUUUUACCUAAGUCGUAAAAAACAACAGGUAAAACUAAAUCCAUAAACUAAAGUAAUCUUAAUAAUUCUGAAUACACUAAAGCUAAGACCCAAACUGGGAUUAGAUACCCCACUAUGCCUAGCCGUAAACACAGAUAUUUAAUAACAAAAAUUUUCGCCCGAGAACUACUAGCAACAGCUUAAAACUCAAAGGACUUGGCGGUGCUUUAAAUCCACCUAGAGGAGCCUGUUCUAUAAUCGAUAAACCCCGAUAAACCUCACCACUUCUUGCUAAAUCAGCUUAUAUACCGCCAUCUUCAGCAAACCCCACCAGGGAUUAUUAGUAAGCACAAUUAUUCUCGUAAAAACGUUAGGUCAAGGUGUAGCUAAUGAAGUGGAAAGAAAUGGGCUACAUUUUCUCCCCAGAGAACAAUUAACGUCAAUCUCCAUGAAACCCGGAGAUCCAAGGAGGAUUUAGCAGUAAAUUAAGAAUAGAGAGCUUAAUUGAAUUAGGCCAUAAAGCACGCACACACCGCCCGUCACC
rnacentral:ncRNA from 1 species